ensembl:snRNA U6 U6 spliceosomal RNA
GUGCUCGCCUCGGCAGCACAUAUACUAAAAUUGGAACGAUACAGAGAUUAGCAUGGCCCCUGCGCAAGGAAAAAAAGAGAAAAAAAUAGCCGUGCACUGUGGUA